rnacentral:rRNA from 1 species
GGAUUAUUGGGCGUAAGCGCGCGCAGGUGGUUUCUUAAGUCUGAUGUGAAAGCCCACGGCUCAACCGUGGAGGGUCAUUGGAAACUGGGAGACUUGAGUGCAGAAGAGGAAAGUGGAAUUCCAUGUGUAGCGGUGAAAUGCGUAGAGAUAUGGAGGAACACCAGUGGCGAAGGCGACUUUCUGUUCUGUACCUGACACUGAGGCGCGAAAGCGUGGGGAGGGGACCGGAUUAG